UACGGAGGAUGCAAGCGUUAUCCGGAUUUAUUGGGUUUGAAGGGUGCGCAGGUUGUUUGAUAAGUCAGUGGUGAAAGUCUGUCGCUUAACGGUAGGAUUGCCAUUGAUACUGUUGGACUUGAAUAUGGAUGAGGUAGGCGGAAUGUGUAGUGUAGCGGUGAAAUGCAUAGAUAUUACACAGAACACCGAUUGCGAAGGCAGCUUACUAAUCCAUCAUUGACGCUGAGGCACGAAAGCGUGGGGAUCAAA
rnacentral:rRNA from 1 species